rnacentral:rRNA from 1 species
GACAGAGGGUGCAAACGUUGUUCGGAAUUACUGGGCGUAAAGGGCGCGUAGGCGGCCACGCACGUCCGUUGUGAAAUCGCCCGGCUCAACUGGGCGGGGUCAGCGGAUACGGUGUGGCUAGAGCAAGCUAGGGGGCAAUGGAAUUCCCGGUGUAGUGGUGGAAUGCGUAGAUAUCGGGAGGAACACCAGUGGCGAAGGCGGUUGCCUGGAGCUUUGCUGACGCUGAUGCGCGAAAGCGUGGGGAGCGAUCCGG